rnacentral:rRNA from 1 species
AGCAGCCGCGGUAAUUCCAGCUCCAAUAGCGUAUAUUAAAGUUGUUGCAGUUAAAAAGCUCGUAGUUGAAUUUCGGGGUGCUACCGUUGGUCGGGCUUUGUCUGUACUGGCGUGUAGAAUUUCUACCUUCUGGGGAACUAUCAUGUUAUUAAUUUAGCGUGGUAGGAAACCAGGACCUUUACCUUGAAAAAAUUAGAGUGUUCAAAGCAGGCUUAUGUCUGAAUACAUUAGCAUGGAAUAAUAAAAUAGGACGGUGGUCCUGUUUUGUUGGUUUCUGAAUCACCGUAAUGAUUAAUAGGGAUAGUUGGGGGCAUUAGUAUUCAAUUGUCAGAGGUGAAAUUCUUGGAUUUAUUGAAGACUAACUACUGCGAAAGCAUUUGCCAAGGAUGUUUUCAUUAAUCAAGAACGAAAGUUAGGGGAUCGAAGACGAUCAGAUACCGUCGUAGUCUU